CCAGAUGUUUCUGGCCAUCUGGGAGCGGGCGAUGAACACCCGCCAGAUGAAGACCACCAGCAGGGUGUUGAAGGUGUACCGGAUGUUUCUCAACCUGGAGGACAACCAAAAGACACCAAUAAGGAAGGCGUUCAGGCUGACCUUUCGGUCCUCGGGGGUCAGCUGGCCCAUCAGCAUGCUCAUGUUCUCCGAGUUCCACUCCCAGUCCUGGCUGCUGAAGUACUCCAGCAGGUGGAUCGCCUUGUGCAGCCGGUUGAAGAUGCGCAUCAUCCUGCAGGGAAGCACAAAACUUCAAUGAAGACAAACAUUUUCGUCACGGAGCAAACCGAGGAAACGGAUAUUUGCUGUUCUCACUGCGGCUUCUGUCCACACAGACGGAGGAAGAGGUCGUAGAUGAAGGCCGGGAACUUGUGGCUGACCAGGAUCCAGUACUGGUUGAUCAGAUAGAUCAAUACUCCAACCGCCAUAAAAAAACAAGAAGAAAAAGAGCGAGAGAAUGGCCAUCAGCUGAUUGGAGCAGCAGCACAUGCGGCGUUGUGUUACUUCCUGUGGUGUUUGCGGUGGGAAGCGGAGAGGAGCAGCACUUGUCAGCUUCACUUAGACUCCAUUAAAAAUGCAUGAAAGCGCUGCUAACAGACUGCUACAUGUGUGGAGGGGCCACUGGGGGCCAAAUAAACACGACGCACACAAACAGGCGUCUAAAUAAGAAGCCCGGUCCGCUUGCAGUGAGAGCCGGGCCCGUUUGAAGAGGCGGACCAGAGCCUGGCAAUGCUGCCACCAACAAGAUUAUACAAAUAUUAACUCUUAUUUUAUCAAACACCAAUUUUUAUUUAUUUAAUUUGAAAUGAAAGUUUUGUAUUAACUUUUAUUUAUUAAAAAAAUGUUCAUAACAUUAAUUUAAUAUCUAUUUUUUCUAUUUCUAUUUUUAAAUGUAUUGAUUUAUUUUCGUCAGUUUGAAUUUGCUUUUGAUUAAUUUCUUAAUUUUUUGGGUAAUUUAUAUUUUACUAAAUAAAAUAGUUGAUUAUUUAUCUUAGUUGAACUUACUGCUUUUAUUGUUUAUGUAUUUUUUAAAAUAUUUCUUUCUUUUGUCUGUUUAAAGAGUCGCUGCCAACUGCAGGCCAAUCAAUUUUUAUUUUUUCAAAUACAAAUGUUUAUAAUUUAUCAUCAAUUUUUAAAACAACAUUUUUACUAAUAUUUUUGUCUAUUCAGAAAAC